GAGAUUUAAGAGGUAUCUUAACAUAAUUAGAAUUUAAAUUUAAAUCAAAAAGGUUAAUUUUCAGCAACAUACGUAUCUUGUUUAAGAGCUAGAGAUGGGUAUGUUACGUACACGUGGCAGAAUAUGGAUGGCUAUAUUUGUUAUUACUCAGUUUUUUUUUCUCUCUCUCACUUUUUUUUUUCAUCAAUCUCUCUCCCCCGGCCAAACAAUAUGACAAUAAUAUCUCUUUUUUUUUUUGGUUUUUUAAGAUUUUUGUAACAGACUUAUUGUUGCUUCUUUAUAUGUAUCUUAGGUAUGUUUUAAAUUUUAAAUUUUGCAAUAAUUAUAAAAAAAUCAAAU
rnacentral:lncRNA from 1 species